rnacentral:misc_RNA from 1 species
GGUUUUGGUCCUUUCAGCAUAAGGAAUGGGUUUGGCCUGGGCCUCACAAGACAUUGUUUUGGGCUCCUUAUGUGAUUGGAUUCGGAUCAUUACAUUCAAGUGUGUGAUACACGCACCAUAUUCAUAUGCUACGAUGGAAGCAAGCAGGAAUUUUCACAUGAUUCAUUUAUUAAAAUUUGUAAUGCCGAUUAAAUCAAAAUCCAAU